rnacentral:rRNA from 1 species
CCCUUUGGUACGGAAUAGCCUCUGGAAACGGAGAGUAAUACCGUAUGAGCCCUUCGGGGGAAAGAUUUAUCGCCAAAGGAUUAGCCCGCGUUAGAUUAGGUAGUUGGUGGGGUAAUGGCCUACCAAGCCUACGAUCUAUAGCUGGUUUUAGAGGAUGAUCAGCAACACUGGGACUGAGACACGGCCCAGACUCCUACGGGAGGCAGCAGUGGGGAAUCUUGGACAAUGGGCGCAAGCCUGAUCCAGCCAUGCCGCGUGAGUGAUGAAGGCCUUAGGGUCGUAAAGCUCUUUCGCCUGUGAAGAUAAUGACGGUAGCAGGUAAAGAAACCCCGGCUAACUCCGUGCCAGCAGCCGCGGUAAUACGGAGGGGGUUAGCGUUGUUCGGAAUUACUGGGCGUAAAGCGCACGUAGGCGGACUGGAAAGUAUGGGGUGAAAUCCCAGGGCUCAACCCUGGAACUGCCUCAUAAACUAUCAGUCUAGAGUUCGAGAGAGGUGAGUGGAAUUCCGAGUGUAGAGGUGAAAUUCGUAGAUAUUCGGAGGAACACCAGUGGCGAAGGCGGCUCACUGGCUCGAUACUGACGCUGAGGUGCGAAAGUGUGGGGAGC